CAUGCAAGUCGAACGGAAAGGCCCUUCGGGGUGCUCGAGUGGCGAACGGGUGAGUAACACGUGGGUGAUCUGCCCUGCACUUUGGGAUAAGCCUGGGAAACUGGGUCUAAUACCGGAUAGGACCACGGUCUGCAUGGAUUGUGGUGGAAAGCUUUUGCGGUGUGGGAUGGGCCCGCGGCCUAUCAGCUUGUUGGUGGGGUGAUGGCCUACCAAGGCGACGACGGGUAGCCGGCCUGAGAGGGUGACCGGCCACACUGGGACUGAGAUACGGCCCAGACUCCUACGGGAGGCAGCAGUGGGGAAUAUUGCACAAUGGGCGCAAGCCUGAUGCAGCGACGCCGCGUGGGGGAUGACGGCCUUCGGGUUGUAAACCUCUUUCAGCACAGACGAAGCGCAAGUGACGGUAUGUGCAGAAGAAGCACCGGCCAACUACGUGCCAGCAGCCGCGGUAAUACGUAGGGUGCGAGCGUUGUCCGGAAUUACUGGGCGUAAAGAGCUCGUAGGUGGUUUGUCGCGUUGUUCGUGAAAACUCACAGCUUAACUGUGGGCGUGCGGGCGAUACGGGCAGACUGGAGUACUGCAGGGGAGACUGGAAUUCCUGGUGUAGCGGUGGAAUGCGCAGAUAUCAGGAGGAACACCGGUGGCGAAGGCGGGUCUCUGGGCAGUAACUGACGCUGAGGAGCGAAAGCGUGGGGAGCGAACAGGAUUAGAUACCCUGGUAGUCCACGCCGUAAACGGUGGGUACUAGGUGUGGGUUUCCUUCCUUGGGAUCCGUGCCGUAGCUAACGCAUUAAGUACCCCGCCUGGGGAGCACGGCCGCAAGGCUAAAACUCAAAGGAAUUGACGGGGGCCCGCACAAGCGGCGGAGCAUGUGGAUUAAUUCGAUGCACGCGAAGAACCUUACCUGGGUUUGACAUGCACAGGACGCCG
rnacentral:rRNA from 1 species